rnacentral:rRNA from 1 species
ACGCUGGCGGCACGCCUAACACAUGCAAGUCGAACGAAGUAGCAAUACUUAGUGGCAGACGGGUGAGUAACAUGUGGGUAUCUGCCCUUUGGCCUGGAAUAACACGAGGAAACUUGUGCUAAUACCGGAUAAGUCUUUACGGAGAAAGCUUUAUGCACCAUUGGAUGAGCCCGCACUUGAUUAGUUUGUUGGUGGGGUAAUGGCCUACCAAGACUGUGAUCAAUAGCUGAUUUGAGAGGAUGAUCAGCCACAUUGGGACUGAGACACGGCCCAAACUCCUACGGGAGGCAGCAGUGGGGAAUCUUGCACAAUGGAGGAAACUCUGAUGCAGCGAUGCCGCGUGAGUGAAGAAGGCCCUUGGGUUGUAAAGCUCUUUCGUCGGGGAAGAAAAUGACUGUACCCGAAUAAGAAGGUCCGGCUAACUUCGUGCCAGCAGCCGCGGUAAUACGAAGGGACCUAGCGUAGUUCGGAAUUACUGGGCUUAAAGAGUUCGUAGGUGGUUGAAAAAGUUAGUGGUGAAAUCCCAGAGCUUAACUCUGGAACUGCCAUUAAAACUUUUCAGCUAGAGUAUGAUAGAGGAAAGCAGAAUUUCUAGUGUAGAGGUGAAAUUCGUAGAUAUUAGAAAGAAUACCAAUUGCGAAGGCAGCUUUCUGGAUCAUUACUGACACUGAGGAACGAAAGCAUGGGUAGCGAAGAGGAUUAGAUACCCUCGUAGUCCAUGCCGUAAACGAUGUGUGUUAGACGUUGGAAAUUUAUUUUCAGUGUCGCAGCGAAAGCGAUAAACACACCGCCUGGGGAGUACGACCGCAAGGUUAAAACUCAAAUGAAUUGACGGGGACCCGCACAAGUAGUGGAGCAUGUGGUUUAAUUCGAAGAUACGCGCAGAACCUUACCAACACUUGACAUGUUCGUCGCAACUCUAAGAGAUUAGAGUUUUCGGUUCGGCCGGACGAAACACAGGUGCUGCAUGGCUGUCGUCAGCUCGUGUCGUGAGAUGUUGGGUUAAGUCCCGCAACGAGCGCAACCCUCACUUUUAGUUGCCAUCAUUAAGUUGGGCACUCUGAAAGAACUGCCAGUGAUAAGCUGGAGGAAGGUGGGGAUGACGUCAAGUCCUCAUGGCCCUUACGUGUUGGGCUACACACGUGCUACAAUGGUAUCUACAACAGGAAGCAAGACUGCGAGGUCAAGCAAAUCCUUAAAAGAUACCUCAGUUCGGAUUGCACUCUGCAACUCGAGUGCAUGAAGCUGGAAUUACUAGUAAUCGUGGAUCAGCGUGCCACGGUGAAUGCGUUCCCGGGUCUUGCACUCACCGC